UAAAACCCAUAAAGGGUCAGCUCCUUAAAGCCGCCCCCUCUUUCAAACUCACACUCUGAAAAAUGCUCUCUCCCUCAAAUCCAAAGAUCUAUGAAGCUGUGAGAGUAUAAUAGUUAAGGGCUGAUUUUUUGCAUUCUCUCUCUCCGAACUCUCUCAUUCAAAAGAAAGUGUUUCUGGCAUCCAGAACAUAAAGCCCAGAUUAAAGCAAACUUUAAGUUAAAAGUUGGGCACAUACUCACUGGCUUGCUAUCAAAAGCUCGUGAAAAAAAAAGAGGCCCAGGUGGAUUCUACCUGAAAAUUGGCAAAAGUUAGUUGACCAUUGGGAGACAGAUUCGAGGUUCAAGCAGAUACGUGAGAUUGGCAAGAAAGCUAGAGCAUCUCUUAAGGGUGGUUCUUUACAUACGAGUGGAGUUCAGAGUCAGGAAAAUGUAAGGAGAAAACUGCCACACAGAUUCUUUACCUAUUGAAACUUUCUUCAAAAUGCUAAACCUUGUUUCUGAACCUGCAAUAUGUGCCAAAAUUUGAGUACUGCUCAGUUGACCUAUAAUUGAUAUCUACAAUGUAUAGAGAAUUUUCGUCAAUCUCUACCAGAAGAUAAGACAGACCUAUCACUUAGCCAAGAGCAGAAUGAGAGAAUAUGAUUAGAUGUUGUUGGUGGCCCGAGUAGGUAUGGAUAUGCUUAUGGAUUUCCCCAACGAACUUUAUGUGAAUUUCAUUUGGAAUUAGAAGGCGUCGGUAGUUUCCAGGAUGAUGAGUCAAGGAAGACAAUUUUGGCUUUGAAGCAGCAAAUAGCUGGGCUAUCUAGCAAAGUUAAUGCCUCGCAGGCUAGGGAAAGGCAAAGAGAUAUACAGUAUGCAGGAAUAAAGGCCCAAUUCGAUGCAUUACUUGCUUCAGGGGGAUUCCCCCUUGUCCCGGUGAUAUAGUGCGCCCUCCUCGACCUCUACAGUCUCUACCUAUUUCACAUGGAGUAUAUGAUCAAUACAGAGAUGUGACUGAGGAGCCCAGCAGUGAUGAAUGUGAUGAGGAUUACUAUGUGAACAAUACACCGCCGCGUUGUUAAAGUUGAGUAUUAUUUAGAUAAUCCAAGCUAUUUAUUUUAUUGUGGUUUAUUUAAAUUCUUAGAUGUUUUUGAAUGCAUUAGAACUUUAAAGUAGUAUGAACAAUAGUAUUGUUAAAUAAUUUAUGACUUUUAUGUUUUGUUCGUUCAAUUUCAAAGUAUUUAAAUUUUAUUUUCA